UGAUUUACUAGGACCACGGUGUAC
rnacentral:piRNA from 2 species